UCGAGGGGAAACGGGAGAAUAGCUUGCUAUUCUUUGUCGUCGACCGGCGCACGGGUGAGUAACGCGUAUCCAACCUUCCCAUAACUAAGGAAUACCCCGUAGAAAUGCGGCCUAAUCCCUUAUGGUCUCUUAUGCCUGUCAUGGGGAUAAGAGUAAAGAUUUAUCGGUUAUGGAUGGGGAUGCGUCUGAUUAGCUUGCUGGCGGGGUAACGGCCCACCAGGGCAUCGAUCAGUAGGGGUUCUGAGAGGAAGGUCCCCCACAUUGGAACUGAGACACGGUCCAAACUCCUACGGGAGGCAGCAGUGAGGAAUAUUGGUCAAUGGGCGUAAGCCUGAACCAGCCAAGUAGCGUGCAGGAUGACGGCCCUAUGGGUUGUAAACUGCUUUUUAAGGUGAAUAAAGAGGGGCACGUGUGCCCUGUUGCAUGUAGCCUUGGAAUAAGGACCGGCUAAUUCCGUGCCAGCAGCCGCGGUAAUACGGAAGGUCCGGACGUUAUCCGGAUUUAUUGGGUUUAAAGGGAGCGUAGGCCGGGGAUUAAGUGUGUUGUGAAAUGUAGGCGCCCAACGUCUGACUUGCAGCGCAUACUGGUUCCCUUGAGUACGCGCAACGCCGGCGGAAUUCGUCGUGUAGCGGUGAAAUGCUUAGAUAUGACGAAGAACUCCGAUUGCGAAGGCAGCUUGCGGGAGCACAACUGACGCUGAAGCUCGAAAGUGCGGGUAUCGAACAGGAUU
rnacentral:rRNA from 1 species